GCCCAGCUGGCUCAGUUGGUAGAGCACCCAGCUCUUGAUCUCGGGGUCAUGAGUUAGAGCCCCAUGUUGGGUA
rnacentral:tRNA from 1 species